rnacentral:rRNA from 1 species
CCUACGGGAGGCAGCAGUGGGGAAUCUUGGGCAAUGGGCGAAAGCCUGACCCAGCAACGCCGUGUGAGUGAUGAAGCUCUUUGGAGUGUAAAACUCUUUUCUGGGGAAAGAGAAUGGUGGUUUUCCACCAGGACGGUACUCCAGGAAUAAGCCCCGGCCAACUCCGUGCCAGCAGCCGCGGUAAUACGGAGGGGGCGAGCGUUGUUCGGAAUCACUGGGCGUAAAGGGCGUGUAGGCGGUCCGGCCAGUCGAAGGUGUAAGCCCACGGCUCAACCGUGGAAGGGCCUUCGAUACUACCGGGCUAGAGUGCGGGAGAGGAGAGCGGAAUUCCCAGUGUAGCGGUGAAAUGCGUAGAGAUCAGGAGGAACACCGAUGGCGAGGGCAGCCCCCUGGGUUGGCACUGACGCUCAUGCACGAAAGCGGGGGGAGCAAACAGGAUUAGAUCCCCUGGUAGU